CAGGAAGGAAGACGAUGUUCUUGCACUAUUGUGAAUGAGGGGAGUGUUGUGCAGAGUGAGGUUGAAUAGGGCACAAACCUAUGGUUAGAAACUUGGUUUUAUUCUGAGAGAAAUAGGAUAACAUUGAAGGAUUUUAAGCAAGGGAUAAUGCAAUCUAACUUAUCUUUUUAAAUAUCUUACUAUUUUAUGGGGAAUGAGUAAUUGGUGUUGUGGGAGUGAUACGAAACAGAAAACCAAUUCAGAGACUGUGGAAGGAGUCCUGGAAAGAAACAGUGCCUGGAAUAUGGUGGCUGUACAGAUGGAGAGCAGUGAAGUGACUUGAGAUGCGUUUUGGAUCUGUAGGACUUGUUGAUGGCUUGGAAAGAAUGGGGAAAGAAAGAGUCAUUGAUUUUGGCUUGAAUAAUUCAGUGGACUGUGGUUCUGUUUCCUGAGUUGGGAAGGACUUUUUUGUCUUAUGAGAUGCCUAUUACACAUUCAAGAGGAGUUUGCAAGUAGGUGGUGGUGAAGUCUGGACUUUGAUCUAGUCCCAAGACAAAGAAUAUCUCUUGAUACUAUUAAAUAUAGAUGUCUGGACUGAAUUGAGCUUACACGACAAUUGCAGUCAAGAUUCUGCAACUCAGAACGGGCAAACCAGUCUGAAUCAAUUUACCCUGUGAUCCUGUCUGCUGGGAAGCAUUGAAAUAGUAAGGAAGUCUGAUGUGCCUGCAGGUUAAUCCAGCUGUCUGGGUCACCUAAGCAUCAAGGGUGGAAAGGGAGACUGGAAGUGCAAGUCUGAAAGGAGAAAAAAGAAGGUGAAACCAGUCUGCAGGAGAAAUGACUGGGAAUUUAGAAGGAGUGGGCACCCACAAGAGAAGAGAAGACACGAAGUGAGAAAAGGCUGCUGCUUGCCAAGGCACUUUUAAGAACGGGACAUCUUAUCACUUUUCAGUUGUUUGAGCUUCUUGCUCCCCAGACUUUCAGCUAAAAUUGUGGCUGUUUUGUUGGCGGAAAUCAGUGAAAAGAAAAUGAGUUCUGUGUCUAGUUCAGUUUACAGCAGAGGCAAGACGAUGCCUGAAGCAGGUGGCAAGGAGUGAAAGGGGAGUGUGCAUGGAAGCAGCAGGUCAGAGCCAGAGUUUAUCAUGAAAGUCUGAGCCCUCGCAAACAUGGUUCAUGCACAACCCAUAAAAUUUCAUCAAACUCUCAGUCUCAAAAAUUUGUGUAGGAAGAGCCUGACAUGAAUGCUGCAAAUACAUGAUUAUUAUUCCUAGACAUAUCUAAGGGCAUCUAAAAUUAUAAAAUUUAUAGUGAUAUUGCUUAAAUUACAUUUUUGAAUAUCUCACUCAUACAUGUAUUACCUAUAUUAUUAUACUGUUAAUUAUACCUUCAUUGAUUUUUUUUAAAUUUUAUUCUUUUGUUUUAAGUUUAGAUGUGGAUGCAUUUUCUAAAAACUACAAGAUUACCCAAACAGAACCGAUUGAAUUUCAAGGUUAGGAAGUUUUUCUAAUAAUAAUUUAUGGUCCAAGUAUAAUGUGAUGAAGUGUGCUUGUAGGUACCAACCUGAGACUAUAUUUGGCAAGAGUUGAAUAAAAUAUGGGGGAAAUGAUUUCUAGCCUUGUUAGAAAUGCCCUCAGAAUGCAUUGUUAUUUCUAAAGAAUGCUGCAUUGUAUAUAUGCAGAUAUUUUUCAGCCAAAUCGCUGAAUUUGUAGAGAUUUCAUAUCACAUAAGAUUUGUUUCCAAUGCAUUUUCUUCUGAAACUAUAAGAAGACUAGCUUCUCUCUUAAUUUCUAAGAAAAAUGUUAUAAACCUUUAUUAUGAUGGUACAAUUUAUGAAACAAUGUAAAUUUUACAUUUUCACUUUUGAGAGUUAUUUUUCCCCAAGCCUCUGCCUUUUUUGAGUAUUUGCAAAGCUCUGCAAAUGACAGGCGCAUCCACAAUGCAAAGAAUAAUCUUCCUUUGGGGCUGUUCCUGGGGUAGUGAUUAGUAGCGUCUUCACUGAAUAUUUAACUUCCUCAAAACUGCUUAUCUGUGCUGUGGAUCAGUGCAAGAUCUGGGUGAGCUGUUGCUACUUUACAUAAUUAAGUUUCUCUUGCCAAAAAAAGAGAAAGUAACAAAAUAUGAAGCAAAAGAAGCCGAAAGUUGGACUUUUAAAACAUUCUCCCUUCAUGUUAUUUUCUCAUUGAAAAUAACCUGAAACAAAAGCAAAAUAUUUGAGAUUUAGGAGGGAGUUUAUGCAGAUCAGUCAGGUUGACAGCUCACAUUUUCUUGCAAAACUCUUAGGAAUUUUCCUCCGCAAAUCCCUCCGCAGUCAGUGAUAAGUACUAAAUGCCACAAAGAAAACAAUUUCCCAUUGUUCAAAAACUGACUGGUGAAGUAUUGUGGGUGAGGCAAAAAAGAGGGUAGGGAGAGAAAUUCUAUUGUAGGGAAACUAAUGCCAGACAGAGCUAUUAACUCAAAUGUACUGAAAUGAUAGAUAAUUCAAGCUUCUCAUGUCACUUUAAAUUAGUAAAAAAUCACUGCACAGGAUUUGUGCUUAAUCCCAUUUUUUAUAUGUAGAAAAUAGGCCCCAGAAUUAGGUUGACGUGUACUUUUAAUGUGUAGAUAGGACAUCUACUCACUUUCUAGGCAUGUGUGGAUGAAAAAGACUUUGCUUGCUUAGUUGCACGUCAUUCUUAGUUCCUUCUCUUUUGAGUGUGCUAGCGUACCCAAUGGAAUCCCCUCCCCUGUAUUUAUUGAACGCUAUAAUGUAUGGGGGUGUCUUUUCCUGGUUAGUGUAAUAGGAAAAAUUGCAUUUGCUUAUCUAUUGCAAAUGAAAAUCAUCUGGGGAAUAUAAAAAGCAUUUUCAAUUCUGCUACCAUUAUUUCAGAAGCAAUCAAAUGCAGAGGAAUGAAAGUCAAACACGGAGAAAAAUGCUGAUGGAUUGGGCAAUGUGCAUGGCUCUCUGGGACCAUCAUUAUUUCAGUAUUCAAGAGGAAAAUGCACAUUUGAAAGAUGGUAAAUUCCAUCACAUACAAUCAAUCAUUCAUCUCCUCUAGCAACAAUAAUUGUGGAGGAGAUAGUGUUCAGACAUUAACUAGGUAGUCAUCCCUGCUUGUUUGUUAGUUUGUUUCAAGGCAUACUAAAUCUUAUGCAACGUUAUGUGGACAUCUCAGAUGAUUUUCAGAUAUUGGUACUUAGUACCAAUCACCUGCAAAUAAUGAGGUCAAAGUAAACACUGCAACCUCAAAGGGCAAGAUGCUUAGCAUUGUCUUUCAUCUAAAACAUUUUGUCCUUUCAUUCCAGAUUUUAAAAAUAGGUUAUCUGCCUGCAUUUUAUGCAUUUUUCUAUCUUUAUAAUCUGAAGGUGAUUUUAUUAAUACAGUAAAUCUUGGUCAAGUGAUACUUUAGGAAGAUGCUUUUUCUGGGUAAACUAAAAGCCUGACGUGGCUCUUCCUGAUGUUCUUAAAUAUUUUAUUAGCAAUGUCUCUCCUCACCCCUUGCCUAUUCAUAGUCUCUUUCAGUUUAAUGAUAUAAAGCAGGUGGUAGGGUUGUCAAAACUGGGUUUCCAUUAGAAACAAUCUCUGGGAAUGUGGUGUAUUUUCUCCCUUAUUUUUCUCAUUAUUAGAUAUCUCAGGCUCAAAGGCCCAUAUGGCAGUUUGGAGAAAGAUAUGUCCUGUUCAAAACCAAUGUUCUGAGAGUUUGAGAGCCGUGAAAUCAGAUAUCAUAGUUUUUACACUUUUUCAAAGCUUUCAAUUGUGAAUUCUGGAUUUCUCUUUUUCUUUCGAACUCUGAAAAAAGCCCAAUCUCUAACAGCACCUCCCCUCCCACCCCCUUCUGGUACUGGCUGUAGCAGUACUUAGGAAGGGAAGAGUGUCUUACAGGAGGUGGAGACACAUUUAUACACCAGUCUUCAUGCUUGGGAAAAAGCGAUUUAGUCACUGUUAACUUCUUUAAUUAUUGAUGGUUCAGAAAAUGUUAUCUUUCUUAUCUUUUAUUUGUAACACUUUUCCCUAAAUAAAAGUGAGGCUGGAUAUUCAAAUUAUUAUUUAGUGCAAGAAACUAAAAAUAGCUUUCCCUCUUUUUAGAUUUUUUUUGACAACAGAGAUGAUACAUUAUAUGUGUAUAUUUUACCUUAAUAAAAAGACUUAAAAAAAAAGAAAAUUAAAGAGAAAAAUAGAAAGAAAGGUAGGAAAGGCAUAGAAGGGGAUAUGACACUUUAGAAUCUCCUAGCUUAGAAUGUGACAGAAGGAGAGUGUUAGUAAAACUGAGGAGGCUGGGUGCGGUAGCUCACGCCUGUAAUCCUAGCAAUUUGGGAGGACGAGGUGGGCUGAUCACUUGAGGUGAGGAGUUUAAGACCAGCCUGGCUAACAUGGUGAAACCCCAUCUCUACUAAAAAUACAAAAAAUUAGCUGGGCAUGGUGGCAGGCCCCUGUAAUCCCAGCUACUCGGGAGGCUGAGACAAGAGAAUCACUGGAAUCCGGGAGGUGGAGGUUGCAGUGAGCUGAGAUCGACCCAUUGCAUUCCAGCCUGGGCAACAAGAGUGAAACUCCAUCUCAGAAAAAAAAAAAAAAAAAAAAAAAAAAAAGAGGGCCAUUCCCUGCUUUAUUUGACAUAAUCUAAAAGCUCCUAUCAUUUCCUCCUUUUAAAACCUUUUAUUGAAAUACAAUAUACACACAGAAAUGGGCACAUAUCAUAAGUACAUAGCUGGAUGCAUUUUCACAAGCUCACACACCAGGUAAUCAAUACCCCAGACCAAAACAAACAAACAAACAAACAAACAAACAAGAAGCAGGCCUAACAGCAUCCAGAAGCCCUCCUCGUGUUUCCUUCCAGUUACUACCCCUCUCUCCCAAGGGUGACUGCUAUCCCAACUUCCAGCAGCAUAGCCUGUUUUUUGUCAUUUGGCAUAUAUAAAUGAAAAAUAUUAUAUAUACUAUAUAUAUAGUAUAUAUGUAUAAAUAAAUAGUUUAUAUAUGUCUAGAUAUCUCAUAGUGUAUAUACUGUAUAUA
rnacentral:lncRNA from 1 species